rnacentral:rRNA from 1 species
UAACGAAUCUUCCGCAAUGCACGAAAGUGUGACGGAGCAAUGCCGCGUGCAGGAUGAAGCCCCUCGGGGUGUAAACUGCUGUCAGGGUUUAGCAACACAAUGAGCAGACCCAAAGGAAGAGGCGACUAACUCUGUGCCAGCAGUCGCGGUAAUACAGAGGCCUCGAGCGUUAAUCGGAAUCACUGGGCUUAAAGCGUACGUAGGCGGGCGCGCAGGCAUCUUGUGAAAUCCCAUGGCUCAACCAUGGAAU